rnacentral:lncRNA from 1 species
CUGGGGAAGAAGGGUGAGGAAUAAGGAAUAAUGUAUCCAGACAGAAAUCUUUGUAUUCAAGGGAAAGAGGAAUUUCCAGAAUAAUUUUAAAAUAAAGCAGAAACAGAAAUGGUCACUUUUUGAGAAAUGUUAUACCAUUGUCAGAUGAAAAAAAAUUAGUAAAAUUCAAACUUAACAUUCAAAUAAUGGAGAUGUCAAUUGCUUGGACGUUUCCUGGGAGAUGCAAUCCAUUAGAUAUAGGAUUAUCUGACCAACAUUGUAGUGCUUUGAGAAAUAACACUGAGUCCAAGAAUCUGACUUUAAAUAUGGACAUCUCUUGUGACCUCAGCUGACAUGGUAAUUCCUAUAUUUGGUAAUCUUUCUUAUCCAGCUAAAAUUUGACUAAUUAUUUGUUGCUUGUAAUUAUGCAAAGCUCAACUCCCUGCAGCCCUUUUAUCCUUUUAACUACUCAUCAAUAACCAAUUUAACAAUCUCACCAAUAGUCUAGUUCAAAAUUGUCAAGAGGAAAAUGAGACAUCUGCUGCUCCCAUCCAGAAAUGACCUCUCCAUUUUUUGAAUUUUAUGGACGUAACAUGUAGCAUUUCUUUAUAUUUCCCCACAGGAAAAAAAGUUUACCACAAAGCUUUUGUACAUUAUAGGCGCUCUGGUGUUUGUCAGUGAAAGAGGCAGCUACAUGGGUAGAGCACUAGCCCAGUGAGGAGGACCAGAGUUCAAAUGCAGCCUCAGACACUAAACACUUACUGUGACCCAAUUUCUCCUGUUUUUGUACAAACUGGAAAUUCACAUAUUAACAUUUCAGUUGUCAUCUUUGUGUAUUAUUUUCAAUAAUGAGCAACUAAAAUUGAGGAUCAUUCAACAGGCAACAGAAAGAAAGUACUGAGAAUAGGCUACAUGAUUUAAAGAAUCAUGUAAAAAGUCAUGAGGUGUCUAUCAGUUGGUACUUGAUGGUAGGUUGGCAGUGAUAUGGGACAGAGGAAUAAAUCGCAUGAAUGGAAGUGCAGGAGGGGUCAAAGUUUGUUUAUAUUAUAU